rnacentral:piRNA from 1 species
GAGAACAGUUGUGACUGCAGACCUGAGC